UACGGGGGGGGCAAGCGUUGUUCGGAAUUACUGGGCGUAAAGGGCUCGUAGGCGGCCAACUAAGUCAGACGUGAAAUCCCCAGGCUCAACCUGGGAACUGCGUCUGAUACUGGAUGGCUUGAAUCCGGGAGAGGGAUGCAGAAUUCCAGGUGUAGCGGUGAAAUGCGUAGAUAUCUGGAGGAAUACCGGUGGCGAAGGCGGCAUCCUGGACCGGUAUUGACGCUGAGGCGCGAAAGCCAGGGGAGCAAACGGG
rnacentral:rRNA from 1 species